CAUGAUCCGCCUUCACCCUGAUGGGACAGUGCUGUAUGGGCUCAGGUCCUGCUAGCUUAACAAGAUUGUGAUCAGAGAUCCAGGACUCCCCUGAAGGCAG
rnacentral:sRNA from 1 species